rnacentral:rRNA from 1 species
UCGGUAGGUGAACCUGCGGAAGGAUCAUUACCUAGAGUUGUAGGCUUUGCAUGCUAUCUCUUACCCAUGUCUUUUAAGUACCUUACGUUUCCUGGGCGGGUCCGCCCGCCGAUUGGACAAUUUGAACCAUUUGCAGUUGCAAUCAGCGUCUGAAAAAACUUAAUAGUUACAACUUUCAACAACGGAUCUCUUGGUUCUGGCAUCGAUGAAGAACGCAGCGAAAUGCGAUAAGUAGUGUGAAUUGCAGAAUUCAGUGAAUCAUCGAAUCUUUGAACGCACAUUGCGCCCCUUGGUAUUCCAUGGGGCAUGCCUGUUCGAGCGUCAUUUGUACCUUCAAGCUCUGCUUGGUGUUGGGUGUUUGUCUCGCCUCUGCGUGUAGACGCGCCUCAAAACAAUUGGCAGCCGGCGUAUUGAUUUCGGAGCGCAGUACAUCUCGCGCUUGGCACUCAGAACGACGACGUCCAAAAGUACAUUUUUACACUCUGGACCUCGGAUCAGGUAGGGAUACCCGCGGAACUUAAGCAUAUCAAUAAGCGGAGGAA